rnacentral:rRNA from 1 species
GAAGUAGGCGGCCUUUUAAGUCUGGGGUGAAAUCUUCCGGCUUAACUGGAAGGAGUCUUUGGAUACUGGAAGGCUUGAGGACAGCAGAGGAAGGCGGAAUUCCCGGUGUAGUGGUGAAAUGCGUAGAUAUCGGGAGGAACACCAGUGGCGAAAGCGGCCUUCUGGGCUGUUUCUGACGCUGAGGGCCGAAAGCGUGGGGAGCAAACCGGAUUAGAUACCCGGGUAGUCCACGCCCUAAACAAUGGACACUUGGUCUGGGGGGUAUCGACCCUCUCCGGGCCGAAGCUAACGCUUUAAGUGUCCCGCCUGGGAAGUACGGUCGCAAGACUAAA